rnacentral:rRNA from 1 species
UACAGAGGGUGCAAACGUUGCUCGGAUUUACUGGGCGUAAAGCGCAUGUAGGCUGGAAUCUAAGUCGGGUGUGAAAUCCCUGGGCUCAACCUAGGAACUGCAUCCGAAACUGGAUUCCUGGAGUGGUGGAGAGGAAAGCGGAAUUCCGGGUGUAGAGGUGAAAUUCGUAGAUAUCCGGAGGAACACCAGUGGCGAAGGCGGCUUUCUGGACACCAACUGACGCUGAGAUGCGAAAGCGUGGGGAGCAAACAGG